AAGAAAAUGAAAAGAAAAAGCUAUCAUAUGGUACAUUGAAAACAAAAGCUCUGUUAGAAAUCUUUACAAAUUAAAACUCCUUUUCCAUUUUUUACGAAACCAACACAGCAAACAAAUAGCAGAAGAAAAGCAAUAUCCAAAAGGUGAAGAAACGGAUAAGCAUCUAUAGCUCAAGAACAACGGCGGAAGAGACGAAGACUCACGGCGGCUCACAUAAGAUCACAGCGGCCGGAGCUUCUCCGACACGGUGGCCGGAGGGAAUAGCAAUCAAUGGAUGGAAUCGUUAUCAGAGAGUAGCUCUCAACCUUUUGAGGCAAAGAAGUCAAAGAACGGUGGCGAUUUGGAACUCCGGUGCGGUGGUUGCGAUUUCCGGCGGUGGUCCGGUGAGAAUAGGGGGCGGAUUCCGGCGAGGGAGUUCAGGUGAGUUUAAUUUCUGAUUUUUGUUCUGAGUAAGUCUGAAUUUGUCAGUCUGAAAAAAAGUCCUUUUGUGUCAGUUGAUUGAAUGAUUAUAUAGUACUCAGAGUCAGGGUUUUUGCUGUGAAUCUUGGGCUGAGAAGUAAUUUCAGAUGCAGAGUGAUUUUUUUGGUGUGAAGCCCAUUCCGAAAAUGCUAUCAAUUGAGUCCAAGAAUUCACAUUUUUUGUUUGCAAAUUACGUUAUGCUAUGUUUAACUUGGGCCUGAUUUAACAGCUUUAUGGAAUUGUUGUCUUUACAAUAAAUAUGCUAAUUCUUUUCUUCUUCUCUUUUUUUAUGUGAUGAAUGAAAAUAUUGGUGGACAUGGAGAAUUAGAACUUGAAGAUGAACAUGAACAAAAACCGUUGAUGAAGCUUUCUAAGUCACGCCCAUGGAGAGCUUGUGAAGUGAUUCAAGAAAAUAUGACUUUGUAACAUGGAUGUAAUUUGAAAUUGUAUAUGGAACUUGAAUUCUUUAUGCUUGACAACCUGUAGAAACACUUGUUGUUUUUUGGAAUACCAAAUGAACCUUUCGUA